UACGGGGGGGCAAGCGUUGUUCGGAAUUACUGGGCGUAAAGGGCUCGUAGGCGGCCCGCUAAGUCGAACGUGAAAUCCCCAGGCUCAACCUGGGAACUGCGUCCGAUACUGGCAGGCUUGAAUCCGGGAGAGGGAUGCGGAAGUUCCAGGUGUAGCGGUGAAAUGCGUAGAGAGUCGGAAGAACACCGGUGGCGAAGGCGGCCUGCUGGGCAGAGCCGGAA
rnacentral:rRNA from 1 species